AAUUUAUUAAUUAAAUUAUUAUAUAGAAUUAUUAUAAUAUAAAGAAAAUACAUACAUGUGUAAUACUUUGCUAUGAAAAUGUAACUGGCCAAAAUACGUGUCAGUGGUACUGGCCUUCUUUAAUUUCAUGGAUUGAUAUCCAGCUUUUAAAAUACACAUCUAUCUAGUGUGGUGUUCUUUGCUAUUUUUAAACAAAUACGCUGAUUAUAAGAAGUACCACUUCUCUUAUGUUUUUUAUUUAGCCCUGCUUGAUGAGCAACAUCCUUCCCCAGCCCCUUCAUCAAUACCUCCACUGGAGGAUGAAGAUGAACCUGUUUCAGCUAGGGCAGAAGGGGGGCAAAUGGAUAGAUCUUUGGAGGACAGAGUCAAGGCACUGGAGCAACACAUUGCUAGGUUGCCAUCUCCAGAGACAUUUAAACAAUUACAGGCCGAAGUACAGCAACUGAAAACCUGGUUUGCAGCCCAUACUUUGGCCAAUCUGUCUGGUUAAUUGUUCAGAUAAUCUUUUAAAAAGUUUUCAUGUUUGGAAAAAGUUAAAGCAUUGUUCUUGUUGUUAUAUGUUGUUUCAUUUGUUAGAAAUGUUUACACUGUUCUUGCACUUUCAAAAUGCAUGCAUGCAUUACUACCUCAAACUGUGGGUGAUUAUAAUGUCUGAACAUCUCUCAAUGGAUAUGUAUGCCUGGUUUCCCUGAAACUGCACUAAAAGAAUGUUAGGUUAAAUCAUGUUCCAAAACUUGUAGAACCCACAAUCUUGGCUGUGAAUUCUUUUCCAAAGAUGUCUUAUGCACUUUGACAAGCGUUCAUUGUUCUUGCACUAUUUAUAUGCCAUGCCAAUGCUUCAAUGCAUUACUACCGGCUUGGCACAAAUUGCAAUGAAUACAACCAUGAUUUUGUUGAUUGCUUGGUAAAACAUGUUUGAUGGAGUUCAAUAAUAAAAGUAAUAUUUUGUUGUU